rnacentral:misc_RNA from 1 species
GGAAGGAUCAUUAGAAAUGGCGGGGGAAGACUUGCUCUUCUCCCCAAAUCUCUAUUCUGUGCACUGUUUUUGUGUGCUGGGCUAGCUUUGGCUGGGUCAGCACGGGGUGGAGCUUGGGAAACUGUUUGCUAUGAAAUUUUCCCCCCCGGGAAAAAGUUCCGCUGGAAAACUUUUUGACAUCUCCGCCGAAAUUUAAUACUAAUACUGACUGACCAUGAAAAAGUUAAUUAUAACAACUUUCAGCAAUGGAUCUCUCGGCUUUCGUAUCGAUGAAGAACGCAGCGAAUCGCGAUAUGUAGUGUGAUCUGCCUCUAGUGAAUCAUCAAAUCUUUGAACGCAUCUUGCACCCUUUGGUAUUCCAAAGGGUACGCCUGUUUCAGUAUCAUUAUAACCUUUCUCCUCCAAGGCUUUUUGGCCAAGGAGGGGAAAGAGCAUAACCGGUGGCCCAGCGGUCCUCCCAUCAGGGGGGAUUGUCUCGGCUGGAAUGACUGUUGCAAUGGUGGGCCAAAUGGUCUCCCGCACUUGAUAAAUGUAACUUUUUAUAAAGAGCGGGGCCGGUCUGCCGAAAGUUGUAACUAAACCCUUUUACCUUUGAUCUGAAAUCAGGCGGGAUUACCCGCUGAACUUAAGCAUAUCAAUAAGCGGAGGAAAAGAAAAUAACAAUGAUUCCCCCAGUAACGGCGAGUGAACAGGGAAAAGCUCAAAGUUGGAAGCUCCUGGCCCUAGGCUAGGCGCAUUGUAAACUAAAGCUGUAAAGUAGUUCGGUUGGCCUGGUAAAAAAGUUCCCUGGAAUGGGGCGACAUGGAGGGUGAAAUCCCCGUCUUUGGCCAGAGUUCAGCCGUGCGUUUGCUUUGCUGCGAAGAGUCAGGUUGUUUGGGAAUGCAGCCUAAAAUGGGAGGUAGACUUCUCCUAAAGCUAAAUAUUGACGAAAGACCGAUAGCGAACAAGUACCGUGAGGGAAAGAUGAAAAGCACUUUGAAAAGAGGGUCAAAAAGUACGUGAAAUUGCUGAAAGGGAACCGUAUGAAAUCAGCCUGAUGUAUGGGUAAUCAGCCUGGGCUUUGGCCUGGGUGCACUUGCCCAUGUAUUAGCCUGCGACAGUUUGACCUGGGGGAAAAAAGAUGGGGGAAUGUGGCCUCGGCUUCGGUCGUGGUGUUAUAGCCCCUGUCAAAAUACCUUGGGUUGGACUGAGGACUGCAGCGAGCCGUAAGGCAUGGGUCUCGGGCGCUCUGUCUCGGCGAAAAGUGAAUCUCUGCUUCGGGUGGUGCGCUUUUCUUCAGGGCAGACUCGCCUGUUUCUUCUUUCUCUCGCUUAGGUCGUAGGCAUAAUGAUUUUAUAUGACCCGUCUUGAAACACGGACCAAGGAGUCCACCAUAGUUGCGAGUCUUUGAGUGUAAAAACCCAUGGGCGUAAGGAAACUGACCAAGAUAUGAAGGCCUUUUUGGCUGGCAAUAUCCUCCGGCGAGGACGUUUUAUACUGAAUUGACCGAGAGAAAGCACCUAUGAUGGGACCCGAAAGAUGGUGAACUAUACUUGAAUAGGGUGAAGCCAGAGGAAACUCUGGUGGAAGCUCGUAGCGAUUCUGACGUGCAAAUCGAUCGUCAAAUUUGAGUAUAGGGGCGAAAGACUAAUCGAACCAUCUAGUAGCUGGUUCCUGC